AUAGUCGUAUUUUUAUCGUUUUGCUGAACAUGGUUACGGGCUACGAUAAGAAUACCACGUCGAUAUCGUAUAAAGUUAUCCACUAUCAUUCGUAAGUGACCACGAUUGUCUAUGCCUAGAGUUUAUGAAAAAUCCAUUUAAUGCCUGGCUUUAUUAAAAUGUCGGACGUGUGUCGGAAGAUGUUUGAAAACGAAUAGUUAGUUUUAUUACUACACUUCCAAAUUGAAAAAUGUUUAAAUGAGUGACAGCUUUAUACAAAUUGACUUACAUUAUAACAUGCACGGAUAAUCGUGUUUUUUCAACUGACAAUUCACUUGACAUUGACAAGCAUCGCGUACGCGCAUGAUUCAGUGAAUUUAGUGAAAAUACAAACCAAGUCGAAGAAAAAUACUGAUUUGCUGUGUAAACUAAAGGAAAUGCCACCCAAAAUUCGAUGCUUCGGCGCACAAGAAAAUGCUAGCCAAAUAUAUAACUCAGCAUCCCCUGUUCGCCUACACCUACAGGGAGAUUCAUGAGCCUCUCGGAACCCAGAGAUACAAAAUGCAAUGCUGCACAGUGCACACAAGUUCUAAGAUCUAGAAGAAAGGAUUGAAGAUUCAUAACAUAUUGGAGGCUUGAAAGUGCACAUACCCAUAGAUUGGACGUUAAGCUCAACGAGACCAUGCGAUGCAUCUCAGGCACUAUCCGAUCUACAACCGCCACUGGCUGCCGGCAUUGAGUCACAUUGCCCCUCCUCACAUCCGACGACUCAAGGCGUUGAAGAGGGAGGCUGAGAAUAUCACGAAUAACCCCACAAUGCCUGUCCACGAGGAAUUCUGCCGCCCGACUGCCCGCCGACCCUGUGCUACAGCUGGGAGCCUGAGCAGCUUUAAUAUUUCGGAUAGGUGGAUAGCGGAAUGGUCAGCUUCGGCAGCUCGGAGUUGCU